AGAAACAACACAAAUCUUCUAGAAACGCUUGGGAGAAAAUAAGCCAAUUUGGCUACCCUACUUGGACCCUUUGACGCACCUGGUCUUGGACCCAGGUUCGUGGGACAUCCUCUCUUUCAAUGAUGAACAACCUGGUCUCCACUGGAGGCAGCAUCCAGGGGAGCUUCACCAUGACCACCUCCAUCAACUCGGGGAUGAUGAGCGAUGACAUGAGCGAGCCUAGCUCGCCGGAGAGCUCGUUUGACGCGUCAGACUUGCUGGGUCCAGGUGGCAUGAAUGAUGAUGUCACUGCACAACUUGCCAAUUCAGGUACUAUUGGUAUGGCAGCAGCAGCAGCCAUUGCAAGCGGGAAAAAACACAUCAAGCGUCCUCAUGCGUUUGAAACAAAUCCCUCCAUAAGGAAGCGACAACAGACCAGACUUCUUAGGAAGUUGAAGGCCUGUAUCGAGGAAUACACAACACGAGUCGGACAACAAGCAGUUGUGUUGUGUUGUACCCCAGGAAAGUCCCAGAACUCCAACAACUACAAAGUGUUCGGCUCCCAGCCACUAGAGUCUGUGAUAAGGAACUGUAAGUCUGUGGUGCUACAGGACUUGGAAUCCACACUGGCGGAACAAGUCCCGCAAUCGCAAGACCUCGCCGGCAUGCAGGAAUGACCCCAGUCAGCGUGGAGAUAAACUCCGACACGAUUGGUCACCGUAUAGCACACAUAAACGAAGACGGUCACAUCAUACUGUCUGGGGACGACCUUGGGAGUUCACAAGGAAUUGUUAUACCUGUCUCAUACACCCUGCCUCACUCCGCUGUGGUUUCCGUGACGACGUUCGAUGCUCUACAAACCCAGGCCGGCCUCCAAGUUGCCAUGGCUCCCAUGACAAUAACAAAACAGGAAGUAUCGGAUGACAUUCAGGAAGAAAUCACGGAGACUGCAUGUGACAUGUCCAUGGAAGAUAGCGAUGAUAAAUUAGAGUGAUGCAGCAUGGGAAUGUGAGAGGUGGAGUGCUUCGUCAUCUCUAUCGAGAUUUUUCCUCAAUUUUGUCAUUUUCCGUAUUGUUACCCGUGAUUUCAUGUUACAUUGGAUCUAUAAAUUAUGGAAAAUUCAAUUUUCUAUGUGAAUAAUUCGUGACAUUAUUCAAUUUUGUAUUUCAUGUUGAAAUGCCUGAUCAUUGUGUUAAUAUUUAUUUGUUUACUACUGUUUACUUGAUUUUACUGUUUUAUGUUGCAAGAAAAACGGAAAAUCAAGAAUCUCAUCUACAUUUGGCAAUGUGUUGUAAAUGUAGUUGAUAAUAAAGAAUUAUAUUUGA
rnacentral:misc_RNA from 1 species